AUUUUCCGUAUACUUAGACUGGCUAUUUGAUAAUUACAAUGUAUUCGCUCUGAAACUUGAGGUUUUGGACUAUAUUUACAGAUAAGAUAUCUAAAAUUCCUUUCUUGAUUGUUUGCAUUCUCUAUAGCUUGUGCUGUCGGUUCUAACAUCUUAUGUCUGAGGUCGAGGUUAGUGCAUGACGGUGAUUUGCAAAGAGUUUUAAGAUACAUACAUACUAUUUAUGUAGAGCGGACAUUGUGAAGAUUGUAACAAAAAUUUUACGGAAAACGGUUACUUAAUAGAUUAGGUAACCGUUCUUUGCUAAUUAACAGUAGACCGUUAAAUAGCAAAGAACAAAUGUAAAAUACUAUAAAAAUAAUUGAUAAGCGCACAAAAGUGAAAUAAUUCACAAGAAAUUGCACGAUAAAUUAGUUGGGAAUGGAACGGUUUGCCGAGAAGAAUGUCUAGAAUAUCUAAAGAUUCAAAACCCAAGGCAGAAGACACCUCUGACUUUUCGAAGCUACGUGGGAAUCGUUUAUCAAUAAUCUUUCGCUUUAACUGCGAAGAGAUCGAGACUGACUGCGCGUAGACCAGAGGCUGCAAGUACGUGUGUGAUCAAGUGUGUCUGUCUAAGAAUUGGAUAUGCGUCGACGGGUUCUGUUUCUGCAAAGUGACCUCUCUGGACAAGAAUUAUAAAUAGGAUUCAGAAAUAAAACGUAAUGAAUAUA